GAAACGAGUGUAGAGAGUAAGAGAUUAGAUCAAGAGUCUAAGAGAAACGCCAUGGAGGCUAAGAAUACUCAGAACUGUCUAAUCUUAUUAAUGAGACUGAGUUACAUAUAUAUAGUGUCGAGAUUAGGGCUUUACAAUACAAGAGGAUAAGCUAAAGCAUGUGUAGUCAAAGAAGGGUGGAGCGCUUAGUUUGAAAUGAUCCAAUGAGGUUCUCCACAUGUGUAAGGCAUCUAGGAUCUUGGAUAAGAUCCCUUUUACCUUUCCAGCUGUGCCAGACUGUCACGCCCAGCUUCUUCCUUUCCC
rnacentral:lncRNA from 1 species